GUGCCAGCCGCCGCGGUAAUACGGAGGGUGCAAGCGUUAAUCGGAAUUACUGGGCGUAAAGCGUGCGUAGGUGGUUGAUUAAGUUAUCUGUGAAAUCCCUGGGCUUAACCUGGGCAGGUCAGAUGAUACUGGUUGACUCGAGUAUGGGAGAGGGUAGUGGAAUUUCCGGUGUAGCGGUGAAAUGCGUAGAGAUCGGAAGGAACACCAGUGGCGAAGGCGGCUACCUGGCCUAAUACUGACACUGAGGCACGAAAGCGUGGGGAGCAAACAGGAUUAGAUACCCCCGUAGUCC
rnacentral:rRNA from 1 species